UACGUAGGGUGCGAGCGUUGUCCGGAAUUAUUGGGCGUAAAGAGCUCGUAGGCGGUCUGUCGCGUCGGUCGUGAAAACUUGGGGCUUAACCCUGAGCUUGCGGUCGAUACGGGCAGACUGGAGUACUGCAGGGGAGACUGGAAUUCCGGGUGUAGCGGUGGAAUGCGUAGAGAUCCGGAAGAACACCGGUGGCGAAGGCGGUUAGCUGGGCAGUUGCUGGACACUGAGGCGCGACAGCGUGGGGAGCAAACAGGG
rnacentral:rRNA from 1 species